rnacentral:rRNA from 1 species
GGACUACUAGGGUAUCUAAUCCUGUUUGCUCCCCACGCUUUCGUACCUCAGCGUCAACAGUCGUCCAGUGAGCCGCCUUCGCCACUGGUGUUCUUCCGAAUAUCUACGAAUUUCACCUCUACACUCGGAAUUCCACUCACCUCUCCGACGUUCAAGUGAUGCAGUCUUAAAGGCAAUUCUGGAGUUGAGCUCCAGGCUUUCACCUCUAACUUACAAAACCGCCUACGUACGCUUUACGCCCAGUAAUUCCGAACAACGCUAGCCCCCUCCGUAUUACCGCGGCGGCUGGCAC